UGUUCAGUGUGACAGAGAUGCCGC
rnacentral:siRNA from 1 species